GAUGAACGCUGGCGGCGCGCCUAACACAUGCAAGUCGAACGGCACCCACCCUCGGGUGGAAGCGAGUGGCGAACGGCUGAGUAACACGUGGAGAACCCGCCCCCUCCUCCGGGAUAGCCUCGGGAAACCGUGGGUAAUACCGGAUGACCCCGCAGGGCCGCAUGGCCCCGCGGGCAAAGCCCAGACGGGAGGGGAUGGCUCCGCGGCCCAUCAGGUAGACGGCGGGGUGACGGCCCACCGUGCCGACGACGGGUAGCCGGGUUGAGAGACCGGCCGGCCAGAUUGGGACUGAGACACGGCCCAGACUCCUACGGGAGGCAGCAGUGGGGAAUCUUGCGCAAUGGGGGGAACCCUGACGCAGCGACGCCGCGUGCGGGACGAAGGCCCUCGGGUCGUAAACCGCUUUCAGCAGGGAUGAGACAAGACGGUAC
rnacentral:rRNA from 1 species